GCCCGGAGCUGUGGAGCACGUGGGGGCCUCAGUCCGGCCCUGGGGCGGGGGAGGGAGGGAGGAAGCGGGAGAAAGGUGGGCCCCACGUCGGGAUUUGAAGCCAGGUCUGGGAAGGGAUGCCCAAGGCAACGGUCUUCCUAAGUCUCCGCUUCCCAAAGAUCAGGCAUCGGGGCGAAGCUCAGGACCGACCAGAGCUGUCGGUAAAAAUAGCUGUCCCGGGCGGCACCUCGCGUGGCCCGUCACGUCGCGAGCCCUAGCUCCUCUGCCCUCGCGGGGGGCCCUCGGGACGGGUAUCCUUCCCGUGGUGCAGGUUAUAUGACUCACCAAGGAUCACCCAGUUUAGUGAGUUUCUGAGAGUUGUUCUUUACCUUGUUUUUGGAAGAAGUUCCCAACUCUUCACCAACCUAUUGAUGCAAUGAAAACAGCUAAUUAAUCAAUAAACUUCUAAACCCAACAUUCAAAAUCUUCAACAAUUAGUCUCCAUCUGCCCCAACUAUCUUUUUUAGUAAUGUACUUGUCAGAAAUUGUGAAUGAAGUAGCAUCAGCCUGUUAGAGAAAUGUCAGCCUGAUACUUUUUAAAGUAGUCAGUCAACAAGUGCCUACUAUGGCACUUGAACUACUAUCUUCUAGGCACUGUGCUGCAUGCUGAGCUUAUAAAGACCAAAAAAAGCAUUCUGUACCCUCAAGAGUCAACAUUCAACAGAAAGAAAGCAAUGGAUGUUGAGUUUGAGAAAAAGAUCAUAAAUACGGCAUAAAACUAUGACAUAGUACUGUUGGGGAACUUCAGCUCCUCUUUUCUCCUGAAAGCAUGGCAGUAUUUUUUUUAUCUUUGCCUUUCUAUCCACUUCAUUCUUCAAGAAGUAGAGGGAAAAAAGGAAGAAUGUUAAUAUGUAGAUUGAAUUUUGAUCAACAAAUUGGAAUCAGUCAGUGAAUGACAGAAAUUUGGAAAGAAGCAAUGAUGACAUCUCGGAAUUCACAAGAUAAGGAGGAAUAAUACUGGCAUAGUCUGUCAUACACCAUAGAUUUUUUUUUCUGAAAGCACAUUUUAAAGAAUGAAUUUCACAACAAGUCUCAUGCAAUGCUAUUAAAAUAUUAGUAGACUUUGAUAAAUGUAUUAAUAAAUAUGACCAAUUUACAGAAUGCAGAAAGCUGAAGGGAACAACUAAUUUAUUAGAUGACCAAGUGGAGAUCCAAAAUAAUCUCAACUAACUAGACUUAUUAAAUCUAGUAGAAGUAAAUUAAAUAUAAAUAAAUAAAAUAAUUUUGAUUUGGGUCAAAAAAUCAUCGGAACAUGAAUCACUUGAUAAUAUAUCCAAAAAAGGCUCUAUGUUUUCAAGGGCUUCAAUCAAUAAUAUGAUGCCUCUCUAUUCUAAAACAAACAAACAAUACAUACAAUAGAAUAAUACUACGUUCAAUAAGAAAUAGUACCCUAAAUAAGUAAGAUAAUGGCAGUUAAAGAGCCGGCCUCAGAGUUAGGAAGACAUAGGUUCAAAACUUUUCUCUAGCACAUAUUGAUUGGGAUAAUGAAAGAAGCUGAAGUACUUAAUGGGGCUGGAAUUAGCCUGGGGUCUGCAGAGGUCUGGCUCAACAAUAGCUUUUCAAGGAGAAAAGAACAAAAUAAUUUUCAGCUUUCAAUGCUUGA